CCUACGGGAGGCAGCAGUGAGGAAUAUUGGUCAAUGGACGAGAGUCUGAACCAGCCAAGUAGCGUGAAGGAUGACUGCCCUAUGGGUUGUAAACUUCUUUUAUAUGGGAAUAAAACGUUCCACGUGUGGGAUUUUGUAUGUACCAUAUGAAUAAGGAUCGGCUAACUCCGUGCCAGCAGCCGCGGUAAUACGGAGGAUCCGAGCGUUAUCCGGAUUUAUUGGGUUUAAAGGGAGCGUAGGUGGAUUGUUAAGUCAGUUGUGAAAGUUUGCGGCUCAACCGUAAAAUUGCAGUUGAAACUGGCAGUCUUGAGUACAGUAGAGGUGGGCGGAAUUCGGGGUGUAGCGGUGAAAUGCUUAGAUAUCACGAAGAACUCCGAUUGCGAAGGCAGUUCACUGGACUGCAACUGACACUGAGGCUCGAAAGUGUGGGUAUCAAACAGGAUUAGAUACCCCUGUAGUC
rnacentral:rRNA from 1 species